AUUUUUGUAUCCCUAAUUUAAAGGUAUUUACCUUUACUGUUAUUAUUACAUUUUUAAUAUUGUUUGUUUUCAAAAUACAGUGUCUUUUAUUUUAAUAUAGAAUUAGUGUGUAUGUCACUGUUUCUUAUUUCCUUGAAAACUUCCUAGUGGUAUUGAUUACAACUAAAUGUUUGUGCUUAGUUGUGAAGUUGUUUUAAAAAUGUUAUCCAAAAUUAUUUGAAAAUCAAAGGGGAGAAAAUGGGGAAAAUUAAAUGAAACUUGUCACAAAAGUGGUGUUUGGGUCGUAUUUUGAAGAUAACUAAGUUUUGACAAAUCAAUUACUUGAAAACUAGGUUCUGCAUGAAAGUUAUCACACAACGAAGAUGAGUAAUGCUGUGGAAAUACAGUUCCUCUCUGUGCACUUCAAUUGUUUUCUCGGAAUCUGAUUUCAUUGACAAAAACCUUUCCCUUCCCCCUUGAUCUUCAUGGAUAAGACAGAUGAUAUGGUAUCAUGAUAGUAACUAUAAUGAGAUUAGGUUACGCGGAUUCUCCAAAAAGCACCAGUGUAUAUUUUGCAACUACUCAAGCCAUUAUAAAAGGAAUUUAACUGAUCACAUGAGAACUCAUACUGGUGAAAAACCCUUUCAAUGUAGCUUUUGCUACAAAUGCUUUUCUUUAAAGAAAAACAUGGAAAGGCAUAAGAUCUCUCAUUUAAAAUUGAAUAUCUAAUAAUUAGCAUGAACUGCUAUGAAUGAUUAUUUUAUUAUGUGUUUUGCAUUAUUAUGUUUGUCUUUUCCUAAUUCUUGUCUGUCUUGUAAUAAUGUCUUUUCCUAAUUGUUUUUUUUUCCUAAUAAUAUUUCUUUUUCAUGCAUUUCUCAUUUGAUUAAGUGAAAGUUGAACUAUGAACAAUUUAAUAUGAAAGUGGUUUUUGUUUAGUGUUAAUAAGCUGUGUUAUACUUUUGGGAAUUUGAAGAAAAUGAAAAGCAGAUUCUGAAACAAAUACAAUUGUAAAAGGAAAUUCUUUGUCCAAAAAGUAAAAAUCUGAAAAGCUAUUGUGGAAAAAGUAUGUUGUUAAUUGAUUCUGAAAAAGACAUUCUAAAGCUGCCCAAAUACAUCUAUCAGCAAAUUUUAUAAAAUUUGAAUUGUUUUUAAAAAAAAUUGUGAAUUGUUGUUUUAGUCUGUUAUUUUUGUAAUUUAAUUAACAGCAUUUAAUUUUUAUCAACUACUGUAAUUUAAUCUCUUUAAAGCUGGUAAUGAAGAAAAUCUAUAUUUUUCUAAUACUUUAAAAGAAACUUUUAAUGCUUUGUACUCUGCUGAAUAAUGUUCAAUAAAUAAAAUUAUUAUUAAUAAAAUUUUAUUUUUCUAUAUUCCCCUUGUGAUAAAGAAUUUAUAUGUCUUCAUUAAUACACUCAAGGUUUUUUUGUAAUGACAGUUGAUAAUAUAUAUUUUUAGGAUCCCUGUCAAAAAUGAAAUCUAAAAAGUUAACUAAAGAGGAGUCACAAAUGAAUACCUAAAUUUGGAGAAAACAAUUAUUUUACCGAAAUCUAAUGAAUCACUACCAAAGGAGGGGGAACUAAAAACGUUAAAACUUGUCUUACUGACAUAGGAAACAGAGUCAAAGCAAUCA